rnacentral:rRNA from 1 species
GCAUAUCAAUAAGCGGAGGAAAAGAAACCAACAGGGAUUGCCUUAGUAACGGCGAGUGAAGCGGCAACAGCUCAAAUUUGAAAUCUGGCCUCUUUGGGGUCCGAGUUGUAAUUUGCAGAGGGCGCUUUGGUGUCGGCAGCGGUCCAAGUUCCUUGGAACAGGACGUCACAGAGGGUGAGAAUCCCGUACGUGGUCGCUAGCCUUCACCGUGUAAAGCCCCUUCGACGAGUCGAGUUGUUUGGGAAUGCAGCUCUAAAUGGGAGGUAAAUUUCUUCUAAAGCUAAAUACUGGCCAGAGACCGAUAGCGCACAAGUAGAGUGAUCGAAAGAUGAAAAGCACUUUGGAAAGAGAGUCAAACAGCACGUGAAAUUGUUGAAAGGGAAGCGCUUGCAGCCAGACUUGCCUGUAGUUGCUCAUCCGGACUUUUGUCCGGUGCACUCUUCUAUGGGCAGGCCAGCAUCAGUUUGGGCGGUUGGAUAAAGGUCUCUGUCAUGUACCUCUCUUCGGGGAGGACUUAUAGGGGAGGCGACAUGCAACCAGCCCAGACUGAGGUCCGCGCAUUUAUGCUAGGAUGCUGGCGUAAUGGCUGUAAGCGGCCCGUCUUGAAACACGGACC